UCUCCGUUGGUGAACCAGCGGAGGGAUCAUUGCUGGAACGCGCUUCGGCGCACCCAGAAACCCUUUGUGAACUUAUACCUAUUUGUUGCCUCGGCGCAGGCCGGCCUCUUCACUGAGGCCCCCUGGAGACAGGGAGCAGCCCGCCGGCGGCCAACUAAACUCUUGUUUCUAUAGUGAAUCUCUGAGUAAAAACAUAAAUGAAUCAAAACUUUCAACAACGGAUCUCUUGGUUCUGGCAUCGAUGAAGAACGCAGCGAAAUGCGAUAAGUAAUGUGAAUUGCAGAAUUCAGUGAAUCAUCGAAUCUUUGAACGCACAUUGCGCCCUCUGGUAUUCCGGAGGGCAUGCCUGUUCGAGCGUCAUUUCAACCCUCAAGCCUGGCUUGGUGAUGGGGCACUGCCUUCUAACGAGGGCAGGCCCUGAAAUCUAGUGGCGAGCUCGCUAGGACCCCGAGCGUAGUAGUUAUAUCUCGUUCUGGAAGGCCCUGGCGGUGCCCUGCCGUUAAACCCCCAACUUCUGAAAAUUUGACCUCGGAUCAGGUAGGAAUACCCGCUGAACUUAA
rnacentral:rRNA from 1 species